UAUACACACAAUGACCAUAUAGAUAAACACACAGAUAUACAGACACAUAGAGACAGACAAACUGACCCACAAACAUACACUGAUAGACAUACUUACUGUGGCGGAACAGACCUCGCCACGUGUUCUUGGAGGGGGCCACUUGCCCGCCUCCUACCUUCUGACUAUGGCCCUGGGAUAUAUGGCAUUUGAAAACACUAUUUGUGCCCUGUGACAAAACUGGAGAUUGACUAUUGUCCAUAUUAUUUAUGAUUCCCUUCAUUUUUUUGCACUGUUCCCCAUGUGUUUCAUCUGUUGGUUCGGCUGGAUAAACUACCAGACAAACUGUGGAGUUACUGGGUGGCCACCAUUUCAUGUAUCAGAGGCACGUGGUGAGAACAAUGGAUGAAGCACAUGGUGAGAACAAUGGAUGGCGGCCAUUUUAACUCACAGACACUGUUUUGACAUUUCUACACGGUGCCAUCUCACCGGUAUUUGGUGCACAAAGACAUCGUUCAGUAGUUUAAAACUACAGAACAGGGGACACAUUUAACAGUAAUUAUUUUUCAUAUUGCCUGUAUAUGUUCUGGGGAAUCUGCAUUAAACCGUAUCUUCCAAAUUACUGAACGGAUCUGGGUGAAGUUUGGAUAUGUGGUUCACCCAGAUCCCCCGGUUCCGAAAAUAUAUUUUUUUAUGGGGUUAUUGCAUGUGAUAUGUUUUAUAAUACUGUAUUUUCCUGUCUGUGAUAAUUAAGUUAGUCUAUUGUGUUGAGAUAAUUGUAUCACAGGCAGAGGGGAGGAUUUCUGAUGUAAUGAACGGAAGUGUUAGCUGUGUUGUAAUGUGUUGAUUGGUUGUUCUUCAAAACCCUGUGGGCAGUACUAUGUUUGUAGAAUGUGAAUAAAAGAGGCUGUAUGUGCCAGUACAGACAGACCUUCUUGACCCUCAACACGUAGUGUUGUCUCGUGAUUGGAGGGAACUGCUAUAUCACACUGGGGAUUGCUAUGCUCUGCAUACUCCCUUGAGCUUUAAUCACUUAGCUCUUUUAAGAGCUUGUUCCUGAUACGCUCUCCUGGAGGAGAGGUCUUUCCCACACGGUCCUGGAGGACAGAAGCUGAUCCAGGGUGGAAAGAAGAUGGCAAGACUCCAGUUAAGCUACGGCGAUUGUGGAGUCUGCGGUGGUUGUGGUGUCCGGUGCAGUGCUUGUGGUCCUCGGCGCAAGCUACGAAUCGUCCAUUAACGGAAGGUUCCGUUACACUUGCACAGACACAUAAACUGACAGUGUGGCAAAAGUAACCUCGCCAUUGGUUUUUGGAGGGGCCUGUUUGGCAGCCUCCUGCCCUGCGACUAUGGCCCUGGGAUGUAUUGCCCUUCUAGGAACUGAUUUGGGCAUAAUGGAUUUUUAUAUUGCUGUUCCUGGCCCUUAAACUACUUUGGAGCAGUGUUACCCCAGAUAGCUAUGCCAUGGAACCCAUUCGUAGAACGAAAGACUAUGUGAAAGACUUUGGCUCCAUGGCAAUUGAACUGUAUGUAUUUGAUCUGAGCGCCAUUCAGUAAUAAUGUGCGCUCAGAUCUAAGCUAUCUGGGGAUAUGUACCUGUUGAUGAAUGUACCUGUUUUAUGCAAUAGCUGCACAGUUAUAUAUUUUUAUGUAUUUUAUUGUAUUUUGCUACCAUGUGGCUAAUGGAGUUUUGCCUCUGUCCUUGUAGAUAAUUAGAUUACUUCCCAAUUAUCUCCAGGAUAGAAGACUCUGUGGAACUGGUUUUGGGUAGAAAAGCCAUGCUUCAUUUGGUCACAAAGGACGUCGAUCUAACUUUUGACCCACUGGACCAAUUUGUAUGAUUUUGACGUAUGUUUGUAUUUGGAGUAUGCUGAUUCUGAAAAUGUAAGUAUAUGUGAAUGUGAUGUAUACUUUUAGAGUUAUGAAUAUUGUGUAAAACUGUAUUUUCCUGCUUGUGAUAAUUAAGUUAGACCAUUGUGUUCAGUAAUUAUAUCACAGGCAGAGGGGAGGAUUUUGUGUGGGAGUGUCUGAGUGUAUUGUACGUAUUGAUUGGUUGUUCUGCAAAACCCUGUGGGCAGUGCUAUGCGUGUAAAAUGUGAAUAAAAGAGGCUGUAUGUGCCAGUACAGACAGUUCUACUUCACCCUCAAUCUAGAGUCCUGUCUCUUAUUGGGGGAAUUGCUAUAUCACCACAAGAGAUUGCUAUGCUCUGCAUGAUUCCUUGGAUUAUCACUACUAAGCUCUUUUAAGCUCUUGCUUCACUCUCUUGGAGGAGAGGUUCACCCACUGGAACCUGGAGCCUUGUCGUAGGUCCAGGGUGGGUAGGUGACGGUGAGACCCCAACCAAGCUACGGCGGUUAGUGGGGUCUACGGUGGUUGUGGUGUCUGCGUAGCCCUCAGGAAGCGCUAGGAGCAUCCUUCAACGGAGGUACCCAGUCGGGGUGCCAGGUGAUCUGUUACAGACAGACAUACUGACACAUAGACAGACAAA
rnacentral:lncRNA from 1 species